CCUACGGGAGGCUGCAGUGAGGAAUAUUGGUCAAUGGACGGAAGUCUGAACCAGCCAUGCCGCGUGCAGGAAGACGGCUCUAUGAGUUGUAAACUGCUGUUGUACAAGGGUAAACCGGAAUACGUAUAUGCAGCUGAAAGUACGGUACGAAUAAGGAUCGGCUAACUCCGUGCCAGCAGCCGCGGUAAUACGGAGGAUCCAAGCGUUAUCCGGAUUUAUUGGGUUUAAAGGGUGUGUAGGCGGAUUGAUAAGUUAGAGGGGAAAUGUCCGAGCUUACCUCGGGAACUGCCUCUUAUACUGUUGCUCUAGCGCGUAGCUGCGGUAGGCGGACUGUAUGGUGUAGCGGUGCAAUGCUUAGCGCUCAUAC
rnacentral:rRNA from 1 species